AUAUUAAAUUAUUUAUCUAUUUAUUUAUCUAUUUUAAGUAUUUUCAAUUUUAAUUAUGAAUUUAAAAAUAUUACGUAUUAUGUAAUUUACAAAAUUGUGCUUCCUUUUUUAACUUUUAAAUUUUAUCCCAUUUUAUUGUAAGGCAAUAUUACAAUCCAGUUUCUAAGUUUAAACUUGCGCGCACGUUUAUUCUGAACGCACCGCAGUGACUGUGAAAAAAAAGUUCCAUUCGCCGGUUGGCUGCGUGUACAGUAUAUACAUAUACUGAUUGUGCUUAGGAUUUUGCUCAUGCAAUCCUAUUAUAAUUUGUUAAGUUAACUAUAUUGCAGAGUGGAAGGUUGAACGAGUCCGUACCAAUUAAGAAAAAGAAUAAAGUGAUUGGAGGGAUAAUUAAAUCAUUUGGAAGUUCAUUUGACGCGUUUUUGCACGAAAUGAAUGAAUCUGGCAGAAAAAAGUGUCGGACUGACCCGCGAAUCGAAAUAUCAAGCGUUAAAGUUGACGACUAUUUAGGUUAGGAUAUCUAACUUAACGUUUGACUACGAAGAUAUUCGAUUCGCCAGUCAGAUAUUCGGAAGAAACGUAUACUUGUAAGUCGCGCUAAUGGUGAUGAAGUUUGUUAUAUCACGUUAAUAAUAAUAAUAAUAAUGUUUGUUAUAUACCGUAAUAACAAUAAUAAAAAAUAUAUACAUAAUUAGUGUACGUUUUUUAAGAUAACCCUAUGUAUAAUUUUAAUAUUUUUAUUUAUUAUUUUAUAAUUUAACAAUAAAAUAAAAUUCAUAUUGCUCGUACGCGUGUGGCACUCACGUGUGUAGACGAUAUGAAUCUCAAUUAGUGCACUCAUAUCAGAUUCAUGUCGCCCGCAUGUGUGCGGCAUUCACACGUGCGGGCGAUAUGAGCCUCAAAUGCGGACAUAUCUGCAUGGUGCUGUGCAGGCACACUGUGACGAUUAUUACGCACACGUGCGCGCACCGUGCACUCACUAUCCAGGCAUUUUGUUAUCUGGGUACGCUCCAAAGCUCCGGCUUAUAUACUAAUUUUGGUCCAUAAUUCUUACAUUUUUUAAUGGCCGGGUAUUUUAUUUUUCGUUAAGUGCGCCCACCAACUCCCAGAAUCCUGGUUCUCAGUGUUCCAUUACCUCUAAUGUUUGCCAAGAAGGCGCGCUUCCAUAUAAUGCCGCAAAGCAUUAUUUUUUUUGGAGCAAUCUCGUAAAUUGAUUUUAUUUUCUUUUAGACAUUCUAAGCGACUCUUAGAGGAUCGCCUAUUCGAUACUUGUGACAUGUUUAUUUGUGCUAUGUGCACUGAUUCUUGGCGUCAAGAGGGUAGCGGUCAUGAGAAUUAUUAUUUCUGGGUAUCAAAUUUUUAGCGCCCCCAGAUGUUACCCACUUAAGUUCGAUCUUGCGUUGGACGCUAUUCUUUCAAGAGGCUUUGCGUUUCAAUUUUAAUGUUUGUCAGCUAUUGCAGGCGACCUUUAGAAAAUCACUUAUUUGGUGAGGGUUGUUUAUUGCGCCAUGCACAUAGAUUUUCGGCGCAGAGAGAAAGUCGCAGUCGCGGGGAGGGGGAUUCGGUGUCCUGGUUUUUCCUAUCUUCGACGCUCGCCUACACAGCCCAUGACCCGUCUCCGGUGUCAAAAGCGUCAUGUUCUCAAGACCCUUCGUAUUUUAAUUUAUCUGUUUGGCUAGUGGAGCUGACCUGUCGGCGAAUCUCGGAGGCGGUUUUAAUACUUUAUGAUGCCAGGCACACCGAUUUUUAUGAUUAUGAUUUGUAUGUGUCCUCGCUUUUUGGUUGUCCUCCCCUCUUGUCUUAAGCGCUUCCUGGUCAACCCUGCACGUGCGUCGGGCAACGGUGUAUCUAUUCUCGAAAGAAAAGAAUCGUUACUCUGCAGGACGUAACAAUAUAAGAGAUAGAGAAAAAUGUUCAGAAUAAAAGUUGAAUGAUUGCAAGAGUACUUUAUAACAAUGUUAAAAAAAAAAUUUUCUCCCACUACCUACCUACUUUUUUCAAAAUUUUUAUUUCUUUUUAUAAGCAAAAUAAAGCUUAUUUUAUUACAAAUUUAACGGUAUAUGACAGAGUUAUGUUACAUUUCCAUUUUCCGAAAACAAUUAAAAACUACUCCAUAAACAUAUGGUACGUGCGCUCAAGAUAUUUCAUGCAGCAUGUUUUGCUCUUAUUUUUUCGACGAAAACAUUUUGAAGCAUAGUCGAUUACAUAAAUAUUAUAAAAUCGCGCACAUCGAGAAAAAUAUUUACGUAACAUUUGAAUGUAUACAUAUUAAGGUCAAUAGCCACGCAACACAUGGACAUCCCUGGACGUCCGAUAUAUACAUGUCCACAAAAGUCCUUGCAAUGUCCUAGUAUCCUGUACGUCCAUAGGACGUUCCAAGGACGUCCGAAGGACAUCCUAGUUUAUUGUAGUUGCAGUAUGACGUCUGCAGGACAUAUUUGGGAUGAUUCAUAAUAUCCAACAUAUUAUGUAUAUUAAAUAUGUUGCCGACAUAUAUAAUAAAUAUGCAUUCGAAAAUUG